UACGGAGGGUGCAAGCGUUGUUCGGAAUUACUGGGCGUAAAGCGCGCGUAGGCGGUUUGUUAAGUCAGAUGUGAAAGCCCAUGGCUCAACCAUGGACGUGCAUUUGAAACUGGCGGGCUUGAGGGCAGGAGAGGAGAGCGGAAUUCCUAGUGUAGCGGUGGAAUGCGUAGAUAUUAGGAGGAACACCAGUGGCGAAGGCGACCACCUGGCCAAAUACUGACGCUGAGGUGCGAAAGCGUGGGGAGCAAACAGG
rnacentral:rRNA from 1 species